rnacentral:rRNA from 1 species
UACGAAGGGGGCUAGCGUUGCUCGGAAUCACUGGGCGUAAAGGGUGCGUAGGCGGGUCUUUAAGUCAGGGGUGAAAUCCUGGAGCUCAACUCCAGAACUGCCUUUGAUACUGAAGAUCUUGAGUUCGGGAGAGGUGAGUGGAACUGCGAGUGUAGCGGUGAAAUGCGUAGACAUCUGGAGGAACAUCGGUGGCGAAGGCGGCAUCCUGGACCGGCAUUGACGCUGAGGAGCGAAAGCCAGGGGAGCAAACGGG